UACGGAGGAUGCGAGCGUUAUCCGGAUUUAUUGGGUUUAAAGGGUGCGUAGGCGGGAUGCCAAGUCAGUGGUAAAAAUGCGGUGCUCAACGCCGUCGAGCCGUUGAAACUGGCGUUCUUGAGUGGGCGAGAAGUAUGCGGAAUGCGUGGUGUAGCGGUGAAAUGCAUAGAUAUCACGCAGAACUCCGAUUGCGAAGGCAGCAUACCGGCGCCCUACUGACGCUGAGGCACGAAAGCGUGGGUAUCGAACAGG
rnacentral:rRNA from 1 species